GCCCCGGUGGUGAAAUCGGUAGACACACCGGACUUAAAAUCCGUUGCUUCCUGAAAAGGGGCGUGCCGGUUCGAUUCCGGCUCGGGGCACCA
rnacentral:tRNA from 1 species